UACGAAGGGGGCUAGCGUUGCUCGGAAUCACUGGGCGUAAAGGGCGCGUAGGCGGAUGGCACAGUCAGAUGUGAAAUUCCUGGGCUUAACCUGGGGGCUGCAUUUGAUACGUGUGAUCUGGAGUGAGGAAGAGGGUUGUGGAAUUCCCAGUGUAGAGGUGAAAUUCGUAGAUAUUGGAAGAACACCGGUGGCGAAGGCGGCGACCUGGUCCUUAACUGACGCUGAGGUGCGAAAGCGUGGGGAGCAAACAGG
rnacentral:rRNA from 1 species